CCUACGGGUGACAGCAGUGAGGAAUAUUGGUCAAUGGACGAGAGUCUGAACCAGCCAAGUAGCGUGAAGGAUGACUGCCCUAUGGGUUGUAAACUUCUUUUAUAUGGGAAUAAAAUGUUCCACGUGUGGGAUUUUGUAUGUACCAUAUGAAUAAGGAUCGGCUAACUCCGUGCCAGCAGCCGCGGUAAUACGGAGGAUCCGAGCGUUAUCCGGAUUUAUUGGGUUUAAAGGGAGCGUAGGUGGAUUUUUAAGUCAGUGGUAAAAUGUCCGGGCUCAACCCGGGCCGGGAGUUGAAACUGGGGGUCUUGAGUGGGCGAGAAGUAUGCGGAAUGCGUGGUGUAGCGGUGAAAUGCAUAGAUAUCACGCAGAACUCCGAUUGCGAAGGCAGCAUACCGG
rnacentral:rRNA from 1 species